rnacentral:rRNA from 1 species
UCAAACUCAGGGCCGGCGGCGGCGGUAAUACGUAGUGGACGAGCGUUAUCCGUAGUUACUGGGCGUAAAGCUGACUCAGGCGGUGCGGUAAGUCUGACGUGAAAUCUCCUGGCUUAACUGGGAGGGGGCGUUGGAGACUGGCGUGCUUGAGGCGGUGAGAUGGGUGUAGAAUUCCCGGUGUAGUGGUGGAAUGCGUAGAUAUCGGGAGGAAUACCAGUGGCGAAAGCGGCACCCUGGCACUGGCCUGACGCUCAGGUGCGAAGGCGUGGGGAGCGAACGGGAUUAGAUACCCCAGUAGUC